ensembl:lncRNA
AGAGAGAGAGAGAGUGAGAGUCAGAGAGAGAAACACAGAGAGACAGAGACAGACACACAGAGAGAGAGAGAGUGAGAGAGAGAGAGUGAGAGUCAGAGAGAGAAACACAGAGAGACAGAGACAGACACACACAGAGAGAGAGAGUGAGAGAGAGUGAGAGUCAGAGAGAGAAACACAGAGAGACAGAGACAGACACACAGAGAGAGAGAGAGUGAGAGAGAGAGAGAGUGAGAGUCAGAGAGAGAAACACAGAGAGACAGAGACAGACACACACAGAGAGAGAGAGUGAGAGAGAGAGAGAGUCAGAGAGAGAAACACAGAGAGACAGAGACAGAGAGAGACACACACAGAGAGAGAGAGUGAGAAUCAGAGAGAGGGAGACAGAGCGAGACCUCGUGGUAACGCUCGAGUCCCACGGUUGUGGUUGGCGAGUUCCUGCAGCUCCUGAGACGGGUCGGCUCCGGGAGAAAUGAUGAUCAGCACCGGUUCUGUCUCCACCGUCUCUCCAUAGAGCCGUCUCAGGUUUAACGGGGGAGGAGACAGUUCCUUUAUUCCUACACACACACAAGAAAUUGAUGGGACUGUACACAGUGAUAAUGUAUCGAAUAAUAAAGCGGAUGUUGGCGCGCAUGCCUGGUUGCGUUUGGUUUAUUAUUUAUGAUCUGCGCAGACGUUUGUGAGUAACUCCUGCGGAUCUCGCUCUCGGAACCGUCCGACAUGCUGGAGUGUUGAAAAGAUGAAAUAUAAAAGAAACGGAUAAAAGACAUGAGUGUAGAUAAGCAAGAAGUUAAGCUGAGGUCAAGAUGAAAGGCUUGUGUGUUUCCGGCAGGGAUUUGCUGCAACACACACACACACACACUACACACACUUGAAUUAAUCAGGGAAUGAUUAAGUGGGAGAUGUUAUCCUACUGUUUUGCCUCGGGGUGAGACACGACCCGAGCGUGUGUGUGUGUGUGUGUGUGUGUGUGUGUGUGUGUGUGUGCGCGAGAGCAUGUAGCGUAUCUAAUAAUGCUCUUUGAGCUCAGAGUUCGUGUUGUGUUCGUGCUCUGUUUAUCUUUAUAAACACUCCACAGUCCUCCACUCCUGCCUCCCAGGUGCGUUACAGUACACCUUCUAGUGCAUGUCCAUGUGGUCAGUCUAACAUUUUUGGAAGGAGUCUCCAGUGUCAGUGCUUUGUAACAGUCAGCUUUCUGACUGAAUUUAUUGAUUGAUUGAUUUUUACACUAUUCCGUAAAAUUUCUACAUGACUAUACAGUGUAAUACUGCUAAUAUGAUUAGGAGUGCUUACAACAGCCACAACACACACACACACACACACACACACAAUAUGGUGUGUGUGUUGUGGAGCUGUAGCAUCUGGCACAUUAGUACUCAUAAGCCAGAUUAUCCGGAUAAAGUCAUUAGCAUGCUCACCCUGUGUUAGCAUUAACUUGUUAUUGGUCUACUGAGAUUAAGAGCCACUGAAUAGAGUCAUACUGAGUUAUAUACAUUAGCACUGCCAUGAAGCCUGAGGGGAAGGGUGAGAGAGAGAGAGAGAGAGAGAGAGAGAGAGAGAGAAAAUAGAGAGGAGAAAAGGUUGACAGAAGGAGACAGAAAAGGGAACGGUGAGAUGAAGAUAGAUAGAGUGUGAGAGAGACACACGAAGAGAGAAGCAACGAGACAGCAAGAACGAGAGAGAGGCAAAGAGACAGGAGCAAAGAGGGAGAUAGAGAGAUAGAUACAGAGAGAGAUAUAUACAGAGAGAGAGAUACAGAGAGAGAUAUACAGAGAGAGAUAUACAGAGAGAGAUAGAUACAGAGAGAGACAGAUACAGAGAGAGACGUACAGAGAGAGAUGUACAGAGAGAGACAGAUACAGAGAGACAGAUACAGAGAGAGAUGUACAGAGAGAGAGAUAUACAGAGAGAGAGAUACAGAGAGAUAUACAGAGAGAGAUACAGAGAGAUAUACAGAGAGAUAUAUACAGAGAGAGAUGUACAGAGAGAGAUAUACAGAGAGAGAUAUACAGAGAGAGAUGUACAGAGAGAUGUACAGAGAGAUGUACAGAGAGAGAUACAGAGAGAGAUGUACAGAGAGAGAGAUACAGAGAGAGAUAUACAGAGAGAGAGAUACAGAGAGAGAUGUACAGAGAGAUAUGUACAGAGAGAUAUACAGAGAGAGAUGUACAGAGAGAGAUGUACAGAGAGAGAUAUACAGAGAGAGAUAUACAGAGAGAUAUACAGAGAGAGAUGUACAGAGAGAGAUAUACAGAGAGAGAUAUACAGAGAGAGAGAUAGAGAGAUACAGAGAGAGAUACAGAGAGAGAGAUAUACAGAGAGAGAUAUAGAGAGAUAUACAGAGAGAGAUAUAGAGAGAGAGAGAGAUAUAGAGAGAGAGAGAGAUACAGAGAGAGAGAUAGAGAAAGAUAUA